rnacentral:rRNA from 1 species
ACGUACGCUGGCGGCACGCCUAACACAUGCAAGUCGAACGAAGUAGCAAUACUUAGUGGCAGACGGGUGAGUAACAUGUAGGUAUCUGCCCUUUGGCCUGGAAUAACACGAGGAAACUUGUGCUAAUACCGGAUAAGUCUUUACGGAGAAAGCUUUAUGCACCAUUGGAUGAGCCUGCACUUGAUUAGUUUGUUGGUGGGGUAAUGGCCUACCAAGACUGUGAUCAAUAGCUGAUUUGAGAGGAUGAUCAGCCACAUUGGGACUGAGACACGGCCCAAACUCCUACGGGAGGCAGCAGUGGGGAAUCUUGCACAAUGGAGGAAACUCUGAUGCAGCGAUGCCGCGUGAGUGAAGAAGGCCCUUGGGUUGUAAAGCUCUUUCGUCGGGGAAGAAAAUGACUGUACCCGAAUAAGAAGGUCCGGCUAACUUCGUGCCAGCAGCCGCGGUAAUACGAAGGGACCUAGCGUAGUUCGGAAUUACUGGGCUUAAAGAGUUCGUAGGUGGUUGAAAAAGUUAGUGGUGAAAUCCCAGAGCUUAACUCUGGAACUGCCAUUAAAACUUUUUAGCUAGAGUAUGAUAGAGGAAAGCAGAAUUUCUAGUGUAGAGGUGAAAUUCGUAGAUAUUAGAAAGAAUACCAAUUGCGAAGGCAGCUUUCUGGAUCAUUACUGACACUGAGGAACGAAAGCAUGGGUAGCGAAGAGGAUUAGAUACCCUCGUAGUCCAUGCCGUAAACGAUGUGUGUUAGACGUUGGAAAUUUAUUUUCAGUGUCGCAGGGAAACCGAUAAACACACCGCCUGGGGAGUACGACCGCAAGGUUAAAACUCAAAUGAAUUGACGGGGACCCGCACAAGUAGUGGAGCAUGUGGUUUAAUUCGAAGAUACGCGCAGAACCUUACCAACACUUGACAUGUUCGUCGCGACUCUAAGAGAUUAGAGUUUUCGGUUCGGCCGGACGAAACACAGGUGCUGCAUGGCUGUCGUCAGCUCGUGUCGUGAGAUGUUGGGUUAAGUCCCGCAACGAGCGCAACCCUCACUUUUAGUUGCCAUCAUUAAGUUGGGCACUCUGAAAGAACUGCCAGUGAUAAGCUGGAGGAAGGUGGGGAUGACGUCAAGUCCUCAUGGCCCUUACGUGUUGGGCUACACACGUGCUACAAUGGUAUCUACAACAGGAAGCAAGACUGCGAAGUUAAGCAAAUCCCUAAAAGAUACCUCAGUUCGGAUUGCACUCUGCAACUCGAGUGCAUGAAGCUGGAAUUACUAGUAAUCGUGGAUCAGCGUGCCACGGUGAAUGCGUUCCCGGGUCUUGUACUCACCGCCCGUCAAGGG